rnacentral:rRNA from 1 species
UACGAAGGGGGCUAGCGUUGCUCGGAAUCACUGGGCGUAAAGGGCGCGUAGGCGGACAUUUAAGUCAGGGGUGAAAUCCCGAGGCUCAACCUCGGAACUGCCUUUGAUACUGGGUGUCUUGAGUUCGGGAGAGGUUGGUGGAACUGCGAGUGUAGCGGUGAAAUUCGUAGAUAUUCGCAAGAACACCGGUGGCGAAGGCGGCCAACUGGCUCGACACUGACGCUGAGGCGCGAAAGCGUGGGGAGCAAACAGG